GACGAACGCUGGCGGCGUGCUUAACACAUGCAAGUCGAACGGAAAGGCCCUGCUUUUGUGGGGUGCUCGAGUGGCGAACGGGUGAGUAACACGUGAGUAACCUGCCCUUGACUUUGGGAUAACUUCAGGAAACUGGGGCUAAUACCGGAUAGGAGCUCCUGCUGCAUGGUGGGGGUUGGAAAGUUUCGGCGGUUGGGGAUGGACUCGCGGCUUAUCAGCUUGUUGGUGGGGUAGUGGCUUACCAAGGCUUUGACGGGUAGCCGGCCUGAGAGGGUGACCGGCCACAUUGGGACUGAGAUACGGCCCAGACUCCUACGGGAGGCAGCAGUGGGGAAUAUUGCACAAUGGGCGGAAGCCUGAUGCAGCAACGCCGCGUGCGGGAUGACGGCCUUCGGGUUGUAAACCGCUUUCGCCUGUGACGAAGCGUGAGUGACGGUAAUGGGUAAAGAAGCACCGGCUAACUACGUGCCAGCAGCCGCGGUGAUACGUAGGGUGCGAGCGUUGUCCGGAUUUAUUGGGCGUAAAGGGCUCGUAGGUGGUUGAUCGCGUCGGAAGUGUAAUCUUGGGGCUUAACCCUGAGCGUGCUUUCGAUACGGGUUGACUUGAGGAAGGUAGGGGAGAAUGGAAUUCCUGGUGGAGCGGUGGAAUGCGCAGAUAUCAGGAGGAACACCAGUGGCGAAGGCGGUUCUCUGGGCCUUUCCUGACGCUGAGGAGCGAAAGCGUGGGGAGCGAACAGGCUUAGAUACCCUGGUAGUCCACGCUGUAAACGGUGGGUACUAGGUGUGGGGUCCAUUCCACGGGUUCCGUGCCGUAGCUAACGCUUUAAGUACCCCGCCUGGGGAGUACGGCCGCAAGGCUAAAACUCAAAGGAAUUGACGGGGCCCCGCACAAGCGGCGGAGCAUGCGGAUUAAUUCGAUGCAACGCGUAGAACCUUACCUGGGUUUGACAUGGAUCGGGAGUGCUCAGAGAUGGGUGUGCCUCUUUUGGGGUCGGUUCACAGGUGGUGCAUGGCUGUCGUCAGCUCGUGUCGUGAGAUGUUGGGUUAAGUCCCGCAACGAGCGCAACCCUUGUUCACUGUUGCCAGCACGUUAUGGUGGGGACUCAGUGGAGACCGCCGGGGUCAACUCGGAGGAAGGUGGUGAUGACGUCAAGUCAUCAUGCCCCUUAUGUCCAGGGCUUCACGCAUGCUACAAUGGCUGGUACAGAGAGUGGCGAGCCUGUGAGGGUGAGCGAAUCUCGGAAAGCCGGUCUCAGUUCGGAUUGGGGUCUGCAACUCGACCUCAUGAAGUCGGAGUCGCUAGUAAUCGCAGAUCAGCAACGCUGCGGUGAAUACGUUCCCGGGGCU
rnacentral:rRNA from 1 species